AUUCUGACCUGACUAAAAUCCACGUGUAACUAAAACACACGGGCUACAAGAAUAAAAGCCUUCGCAUUACUUCAAACUGUGUACACUGGAAACACAACAGUAAAAGAUGAAGAACUUGGUCAGUUCUCACAUCAUACACUGUCCUCCAAGUGGGUGUGUUGGAGAGAGAAAACAGAAAUUUGCAGGAGUACUCCCGGAGCCAGGCUGGGAAUAUGGGAGGAAGAGGAACUGACUGACAAUUUAAACUAAAAAAUCAGAGCGUGUCUGACUUAAGGCUGUGUGUGUUUUUAGUUGAGCUGUAUCCAUGAUGAUCCCUCUCCCGUCCUCUUGCACUUUCUCAGGCUCAGCCAUUACAUAUUUGAUUGACAGGUGCCCAGAUGUCACAUUUAAGAAGAGAGAGUAAUGGCUCUAUUGAGAGCCAUGAUACACAGCCCUGACUCUUAUCUAGAUUCUUCAUGUGCUGCUGGGCCACACGGACCAUUAACCUCCAUUGUUUUAUCUAAUUCUGGUGAUUAGUGACAGGACCUACAGUCCUGAUGUUUGCACACUGGGCAGAGAGAUUGUUGAUCUUUGUUGUCUGAGUUUUUGUAAAAUGGAGUUUUACUGUUUAUCUCGGCUUGUGUGUAUUUUAAGGAAAAUGCUGAUGUUAUGAUGGUGCUGUGAUAGAAUUUAAAGGUAAAGUGUGGAAUAUUGCUAAUUGUAGUCACAUAUUUCUUUUUUAUUUAAACAUUUCAUUUAAGUUUUUGUAUCGCAUAUUUUAAUUUCUGAAUAUCACUGACUGACAC